rnacentral:rRNA from 1 species
GUCCACGCCCUAAACGAUGUCGACUAGGUGUUCGGGAAGGAGACUUCUUGAGUACCGCAGCUAACGCGUGAAGUCGACCGCCUGGGGAGUACGGUCGCAAGAUUAAAACUCAAAGGAAUUGACGGGGACCCGCACAAGCGGUGGAUGAUGUGGAUUAAUUCGAUGCAACGCGAAAACCUUACCUACCCUUGACAUGCCUGGAACCCUGCUGAGAGGCGGGGGUGCCUUCGGGAGCCAGGACACAGGUGCUGCAUGGCUGUCGU